UGUCGAAGGGACUGAUGAAUUUGUUCACUAUAACGCCAUAAGCUAUUUAUGGAUUUGUUUUAUACAUAUGUGCUCGAACAAUCGGAGGCUAGUAUGGUGUCCUCCCUACGGUCGAAUUUCGUCUAUCAACAGCAUACAUGAAAAAACACUUAAUAUGUUUCAUUCCCACCAGUGUUUAAUGCUUGUUAGUGUUAAUUUCCUUUCUGAAAACGUCAAAUCCUAAUUUAUUAAAUAUUUUUAAUGGGUAAAACAUCUGAAAAUGGCAGUUGUUCCUUUUCCAUAUUUUUAAAACUUUUCUCCCUAUUCGAUUCAUGAAACAUGUCUAAUAGAUUUUGGCCCUAUAGGCCGUCGUAGCUGCGGUUAUUGAACUUUUUUUUCCUGUUUUCUUUUGUUAGAUUUGUGAUGGUUAAAGCCGAUUCACGUUUUAGACUUGCUAGUGAUGACAUUGAACAUAUUCAAGUUUUAAUCUAAUCAUUCUUAUUUUCCACUAUCUUUUUUUCAUCUUCAUCUUUCAGUCAGGUAGUAUAAAUUAUUAAAUUUUAUCAUAUUAAAAUCAGUCUCAGGUUGAUAAUACCGACAUUAGAUGUGGGUGAAAUCACCAAUUUUUAUGCUCCUGAGCCAUUCUUUGCACGAGUUUUCAGAGAGAGCAUACUCACCGUAAUCUUUGACGAGUAAACGGUUAGUUUCAGCAGCAGAUUUUUUUUCAAAUGAAAGCAAAAGUAACGUUUCCCAUAAAUGUUGCCUUGUAGACGAAAAAUUCCAUGCAAUAAAAACAAUGUUGCUAACACUUUGGCAAAGUGAAAUGUACCAAAUUUUUAAAAUUGUCGACAGUCCUGCCACUUAUCAAACCAACUACAUAUGCUUAUUUGUAUAUGACGUUAUAAUAAUAGGACAGGAAUUGAGUAUUAUGGGAGGGAAUUACAAAUAUAUUUCACUUGCUAGAUUAUGUCCUUAAUUUUAAAACAAUAUUUCUUUUUUAGUUAGGGGGUUUGAUAUUAGACAAAGAGAUUAGAUCUUUGGCCGCUUACCUUACGACUACUACGUCCUGGUCAAUAAGAGACAAGUUUGCAAGGCUAACGCAAAUAGCUACAGUACUAAACUUGGAGAAGGUUUCCGAAAUAUCUGACUAUUGGGGUAACGAAAGUUCUUUGACUUGGAGAUUAACUCCGACCGAACUGAGGAGUAUAAUGUCUUUAAGAAUCGACUUUAAAAUAGAUGAAAUCAGGAGAUUAAAAUUGUAAAAAAAGGCAAGUGAUGUCAUUUUUCACAGUUUAUUUAUGUACAUAUUAGUUUUAUAUAUAUAAUUGUACAUGUUGUGCUGUUGGAAUAAAUACAUAUACAGCU